AACCAGUCACAGCUUUCGGUCCAGGAGCGCUCCAGGCAAUCGAGCCAAUUAGUGUCUCGGAAACAUUUCCUACGUCGCUGAUUGUUGGAGACUCCGCACAGACUGGUUCCUCCUCUGCGCUGGGAAUUGAGUACUAUGCCAGGAGGUGUAGGCAGAGCAGCCAAAGGAGAGCCUGAAGACUGACUUGACGUUCACUUUAACAGAAAUUUAUCCGAAAGAGUCGAGAAUUUCAGGAGAGGAAUGUGCGUUGUGUAGACAAAUGAAGUCCCAUUCUCCAAGGGAGCAACCACUCUGCAUCCCUGCCCGACCCGCCGACUUCCUCCUGAGUGUCCUAAGGCUCAAGAAAUGUGGCCUCCUCUUCCCUGAAACUCCACUGUGGCCUUCCAACUAAUGUUCUUUUCCACUUGGAAGGUAUCCUAGGUGUCAGGCAUAGGAUGAGCCCGUAUUACUUGGUUCCCGUGCCCUUUCUACCAAAGCAGACCCUGGAUCUUUUUCUGGCGUUUAAUCUCACUUAAGGUCCCAAAUGACUGUUGCUAAUGUUGUAUGGAGUGAUCCCAUCGAAGGCCAGGGCCCGUUGCUUACUCAGGAUGCCUUAUCCCAGUUACUGAUCAGCGGAAGAAAUCCUUUCACCUGCCUUGACGAAUCCUUACACCACAUGACCGAGCUCUGGUUUUCAACCUUGUCUCCAAAAUGACAUAAUCACCACUGGAACACAUAAUUUUCUUUUGCUCUUUUUGAUUGCUCUUUGUUACCUUGAUAUUUGUUUCUUGCUGUA